AUUGAACGCUGGCGGCAGGCCUAACACAUGCAAGUCGAGCGAGCGGCGGACGGGUGAUUAAUGUCUGGGAAACUGCCUGAUGGAGGGGGAGAACUACUGGAAACGGUAGCUAAUACCGCAUACCAUCAGAUCUGGCCAGGUGGGUGUAGCUGGUGGGUGGGGUAACGGCUCACCAAGGCGACGAUACCUAGCUGGUCUGGGAGGAUGACCAGCCACACUGGAACUGAGACACGGUCCAGACUCCUACGGGAGGCAGCAGUGGGGAAUAUUGGACAAUGGGCGAAAGCCUGAUGCAGCCAUGCCGCUUGUGUGAAGAAGGCCUUCGGGUUGUAAAGCACUUUCAGCGGGGAGGCGUUACCCGCAGAAGAAGCACCGGCUAACUCCGUGCCAGCAGCCGCGGUAAUAC
rnacentral:rRNA from 1 species